rnacentral:rRNA from 1 species
GACGAACGCUGGCGGCGUGCUUAACACAUGCAAGUCGAGCGGUAAGGCCCUUUCGGGGGUACACGAGCGGCGAACGGGUGAGUAACACGUGGGUGACCUGCCCUUAGCUCUGGGAUAAGCCUGGGAAACUGGGUCUAAUACCGGAUAUGACUCCAUGACGCAUGUUGUGGGGUGGAAAGCCUUGUGCGGCUAGGGAUGGGCCCGCGGCCUAUCAGCUUGUUGGUGGGGUGAUGGCCACCAAGGCGACGACGGGUAGCCGGCCUGAGAGGGCGACCGGCCACACUGGGACUGAGACACGGCCCAGACUCCUACGGGAGGCAGCAGUGGGGAAUCUUGCGCAAUGGGCGAACGCCUGACGCAGCGACGCCGCGUGGGGAUGACGGCCUCGG